UAACUACGAUACGAGAGAGAGGGAAGAGAAGAGAAAUGAGAUGAUGAACAGCAGUGCUAUGAUGAGAUGCUCCAACACCAACGCCCUUUUCAGAGCUUUCAGAGCCAAAACCCGCGAUUCUUCUCUGCCAAUUUCUUCAAUGCCCAUCAACAAAGGUACUGGUGGGAAGAAGGCAUAUGAUGCAUUGCUGUUGGACGCUGGGGGCACCCUUUUGCAAUUGGCAAAGCCAGUUGAGGACACUUAUGCCGCUAUUGGAUCCAAAUAUGGUGUUAUUAUGGAUCCAGCUAUGAUAAAGCAAGGAUUUAAGAGAGCAUUUGCUGCUCCGUGGCCUGAAAAGCUACGGUACCAGGGAGACGGGAAGCCAUUUUGGAAACUUAUAGUUUCUGAAGCCACAGGUUGUGGAGAUGGGGACUAUUUUGAGGAAGUUUAUGAGUACUAUGCAAGAGGGGAUGCGUGGCAUCUUCCCGAUGGAGCUCAUGAAGCAAUUACUCUUCUGAAGGAUGCUGGAGUUAAGAUGGCUGUUGUAUCCAAUUUUGACAACCGCUUAAGGAAGCUAUUGAAGGAUCUUAAUGUCUUAAAUCUAUUUGAUGCUGUCAUUAUAUCAUCAGAGGUCGGAUAUGAAAAACCAGAUUCGAGAAUAUUCCAAGCUGCUCUAGAUCAAGUAAAUGUAGAGGCUUGCAAAGCCUUACACAUUGGAGAUGAUAAAAAAGCAGAUAAAAUGGGGGCCAAUAACGUGGGGAUCGAUUGCUGCAGGUUAUGGGGUAUUGAUGUGAAGACAUUCUCCGAUAUACAAAAUCGCAUUCUCAAUUCAGAGGCUUAACGACUGAUGUGCUUGAUCAUGUUGGAAAGUGAAGUAGUGUACUUGAACUCUCGCUCCUAAUACUUCACUUUAGCCUCGAUCGCUUUGCACCUCUCCUCACCCAGUUGGCGUUUCUUCUAUGUUAGCAAUAAGACCUCUUUGAAGAUGACAUCAUGACUGUCGUUGUCCCCUCCCAAAAGGAAGUGUUCUUGCAACUGAGGAAGAAGAGAUUAGAGGAAGAAGAGAAUAAAAAAUUUGUUAUUGUUGUUGAAGGUACGAGUGAACCAAGAGCUGUCGAGAAGGUAUCAGCUGAAAGGGAAGAUCUUAGGCCUCCCUAUGUUGAAAAGAAGAAGUAUUAGCGCAAAGAAAAAACUACAAGGCCUGGAACACCUCGGCCUCCAUCGCCGAAACACCUGGGUACUAAGACCUCUGAUUUGGGUGAUACAUUGGCGGUGUUCUUUGAUGCAAAGCUGAAAAUUAAUGAGGGCAUAGAUGCAACUUUAACAUCAGAAGAAACUAGCAUAGUCUCGACAACCCGUCCAGAAAUGUUGUUGUAGGCGCUGAAUGAAUUUCAAUCUCAAGCUAUGGUGAUGGGCCGCCAACUAGACAACGUGCUAAGGAAGAUGCCGGACAUUAGCAAGCUGACUGUCGAGAUUGAGAAUUUGAAGAAAGAGCUUAGCACAGCCACUAAGGAAAAGAAAGAUGCAUUUAAGUCAGCUUGAUUCUGUUAAGAAAGAAAAAUCCCAGCUUUUGUCUGAACGCAAUGCUUGGAUAUCAAUAACAAACAUAUAUCUUCCUUUACCCAAA